GACGAACCGUGCGAACGUUGUUCGGAUUCACUGGGCUUAAAGGGCGCGUAGGCGGACGGUCAAGUCGGGGGUGAAAUCUUUCAGCUUAACUGGAAAAGUGCCUCCGAUACUGAUCGUCUCGAGGGAGGUAGGGGCAUGUGGAACUUCCGGUGGAGCGGUGAAAUGCGUAGAGUAUCGGUAGGAACACCAGAGGCGAAGGCG
rnacentral:rRNA from 1 species